CCCCGCCUUACCACUCGGCCAUGCCGCC
rnacentral:tRNA from 1 species